AAAGUCGUAACAAGGUUUCCGUAGGUGAACCUGCGGAAGGAUCAUUAUCGUGGGGCUCCGGCCCCGUCGAGAUAGCACCCUUGCCUUUACAGUACCGCCCGUUUCCUCGGCAGGCUCGCCUGCCAAUGGGGACAACAAAACACCCUGAUACCACCUGUAACCGUCUGAUAAAACAAACAAAAAUCAAAACUUUCAACAACGGAUCUCUUGGUUCUG
rnacentral:misc_RNA from 1 species